rnacentral:rRNA from 1 species
UUAUCGUGGAACUGCCUAGGAGGGGGAGGGGACCGCCGGACAGUUCGUGAGGUGUUGGCCCUCUCAAAAGCCAAUAACCCCAAGCCAGUCUUCCUUUGUGAGACUAGACAAGAGUCUGAAAGUUGAAAAAAAAUGAGAUUAGGACUUGGUCCGAAGGGUUUCCAUGGUAUGAGUGGUGGCAAUAGUAGUCGAUUGGCACUUUUUUGGGAUGAGUCUUUGACAGUAACAGUACUAGAAUCUUGCAACCUGACCAUUGAUGUUAGAAUUGUAGAUGGGGACUCAGGAAUAUCAUGGAGGGGAACCUUUGUUUAUGGCGAACCGAGAGUUGAAAACAGACAAUGGAUGUGGGAUCAUAUAUGUAGGCUUCGAGCCAUCUCGAGGAGCCUUGGUUGCAGCCUGUUGCCUGGAGCGUUCGUCGCCACCUUGCUCGUCGCUACCUCCGGGCCGCCGAGAAGAGCUAUGAAGAGCCGCCCAGCCGCCAGAACUUUUCGGAGGAGAGGAAGACAAAGGGACGAGAUCUGA